rnacentral:rRNA from 1 species
UACAGAGGUCUCGAGCGUUAGGCGGAAUCACUGGGCUUAAAGCGUGUGUAGGCGGCUCGGUAAGUCCGUUGUGAAAUCCCACAGCUUAACUGUGGAACUGCUUGGUAUACUGCCAGUCUUGAGCCAGCUAGGGGCUACCGGAACAAAUGGUGGAGCGGUGAAAUGCGUAGAUAUCAUGUGGAACGCCAAUGGUGAAAACAGGUAGCUGGGGCUGUGCUGACGCUGAGACACGAAAGCCAGGGGAGCAAACGGG